rnacentral:rRNA from 1 species
GUACACGCUGUGACUAGCAUAUCAAUAAGCGGAGGAAAAGAAACUAACAAGGAUUCCCCUAGUAAUGGCGAGUGAAGCGGGAAGAGCUCAAAUUUGAAAUCUUAAAGGGUUUCCCUUUACGAAUUGUAGUUUAAAGAAGUGUUUUCUGUUGAGGUUUUGGUAAAAGUUCUUUGGAAUAGGACAUCAUAGAGGGUGAGAAUCCCGUAUUUGACCUUUACUUUCAACUUUGUGAUACACUUUCAAAGAGUUCGGAUUGUUUGGGAAUGCAGUCCAAAAUGGGUGGUAAAUUUCAUCUAAAGCUAAAUAUUGGCGAGAGACCGAUAGCGAACAAGUACCGUGAGGGAAAGAUGAAAAGAACUUUGAAAAGAGAGUUAAACAGUACGUGAAAUUGUCAAAAGGGAAGCGUUUGACACCAGUGUUGUUUUUCUGAAAAUCAAUUAAAGAACUGUUUAUGCUAAGCUGUUUAGACUUUAUCAGCUAUCUGUUUAGUUUUGAGCUUUUCUUUAAUGCACUUUUCAGUUAACAAGUCAACAUCAAUUUCUUUUGCUGUAAAAACGCUUGAGGAAGGUGGCUUGAGAUUCGUCUUAAGUGUUUAUAGCCUCUUGCCUAUGCAGUCGGAGAGAUUGAGGUCUGCAGCGUAGAUCCUUCGGGGCUAAAUGCAUUUGUGCUAAGUUAUAGCAUUUUAUAGACAACUUGUUGACUAUGAUUUGUCUUGUAGCUUACUCGCUUAUGUUAUUUUACCUACGCUUAGGAUGUUGAUAUGCAUGACUGAUAU